CGCUUCUCAUACGAUCACCGAAGUUAAGCAACCUCGGGCCUAGUCCGUAACUCGAUGGGUAACUGCUUGGGGAUACCAGGUGUUGUAAG